rnacentral:misc_RNA from 1 species
AACGCACCUUGCGCUCCUUGGUAUUCCGAGGAGCAUGCCUGUUUGAGUGUCAUGAAAUUCUCAACCCACCCUGCUUUUGUUUGUGGGGCUUGGGCUUGGAUUUGGGGGUUCUUUAAUGCUGGUCGAAUUUGCUCGAUCGGCUCCCCUUGAAGGCAUUAGCCCAGGACCUUUGCCUCCCGGUCAGUUUCACGGUGUGAUAGUCUAUCAACGCCGGUGUUCUGGUGUCAGGUGUUGGCAUAGUAGCGGUCCGGCUCUCCAAAGGACUUUAAUGUCACUUCUCAAUCUGACCUCAAAUCAGGUAGGACUACCCGCUGAACUUAA